CCACCAUGCAUGGCCUCCAUGUUUGGUUUAGAACAAUGGAUUCCACUCUAGUAUUUUAUUUGUUCCAGUCAAGAUACAAGGGAUGGCUCAGCUAAGAGGAAUGUUCCAAUUCUAACAGAAAAGAUUUCAUAACUUUCUUUAAAUGAUGAGUGACAAAUAUACCACUAUGGUAACCAUUAAGAUACCUAACAAUGUUACCAUGAUGCAGUCCUUUGAGUCAUACUUUCAUGGGCCUGGGAUUCACAGCCUGAAUAUUUGAUGUUUUCUGGCCUGCUGACUAUGCUCUCUUCUAAUGAGUAGAAGAAAUCUUCCAAAUAAAAAGCUGUGCGGAAGCAAACCCUCCAUAUCUCUGUUUACUACUUUUGCAGUUGCUGAUAAUGCAGAUUCUGACAGCUCAGACUCAGUUUGAGGGAGAGCCUCCUCCUCUCCCUGGCUGCCACCACAGCCUUCUGAAGAAGUGUGCAAAGGGACCUCAUGCUCCAAGCAUGGACAAGUCACGCUCAGUCUCAAGACAUAUGCUAACUCUUCUGAGCCCCCGAAUACCGUGCCCCUGGGAAAAGCUGAAGAACUACAAGUCCCCUGGUACUGCACUGUGCCCACCAAAGACCCAAGAGGGCAGAGGGAUGCUGGGAAUUUAACCAAGUCAUCUGACUCAGACACUGUAAAACAUGGGGCAGAGCUUUCUGUGUAGUGAAGAGUUAGGCAGCUGAAAUUCAAUCUCUGUGAAGUGAUAAGCCUUAAUUUCUGAGAACCCCAUUACUAAGAUCUUUAACUCAACACAGUAGGGCAGUACUUAGUCAAAUAACAAUAUAAAGACAUAGAGGGAAAGGCCCCGUGCCAACUUUCAGGUUUAGAAGUGUAUUUCAUGAUUUUUUUCAGCAGUACAUUUUAGAACAAAACUAACCCAGCAACGAACUACAUGUACAUAAACUCAGGAGUUGCCUAAACCAGGGGACUUUGUAUAAAAGAUUCUAUUCAUAAAUAAAACAACCUUCGUUCAAAGUAA